GUGUUUGCUUCAGCAGCACAGUAUUAAAAUUGGAAUGAUACAGAGGAGACCAGCGUGGCCCCUGCACAAGGAUUACAUGCAAAUUCAUGAAAUGGUCACCAUAUAU
rnacentral:snRNA from 14 species